GUCACGUGAGUCCGAGUCUUCCUGACCCAGGGGAGCAGGAGGCUGCGGCCAAGCUGACCCACAGUUUCAGCCAAGUGAUCGCCACCGUGAGAGGCCAGGGAAGGGAGCUCCAACAGGGCCCCGCGCAAGACUGUGGAGCAUGCUCUCGUGAUGUGGACAGUGCCAACCCUCCCUGCUGUGCUCCACACAGAUGGAUUUGACGACCUCUGGAGAGGCGACUGACAGUUCAGAGGACACUCAAACAAGAAAACAUGCAGUGGCAAAUCCAGUGUGGCCAGGAAUCCAGGAGAAUGAGAGGGCAGAACACUUUAAAGGAGAAGGAGCAGGGAGCCACACAGAAGGCAGAGGAGCCAGGCGGUGGAGUCAGUGGAAAAGAGAGAGGCACGCACGGAGCCGGCUGUCACCUCCCAAGUCAUCUCAGGUGUUUCAUUUGCAAAAGGACAGGGGCCGGGGAUCUAGCUCAGUGGUGCCUCCUGCCUUGCAAGCACAAGGGCCUGAGUUCGAUCCCCCGUACAAAAAAAAAAAGCUCUCCGCAGUGUACAAAGUGAGAUUGUUUGUUCUGGACAUUAACUUAUGCAGGGUGCUCAGCUUGCUACCUGGUAAGUGGCCAGCGAAUCAUCUGUGUUAA
rnacentral:lncRNA from 1 species